UACGGGGGGAGCAAGCGUUGUUCGGAUUUACUGGGCGUAAAGGGCGCGUAGGCGGUCGUGACAAGUCACUUGUGAAAUCUCCGGGCUUAACCCGGAACGGUCAAGUGAUACUGUCGGACUAGAGUACAGAAGGGGCAACUGGAAUUCUCGGUGUAGCGGUGAAAUGCGUAGAUAUCGAGAGGAACACCUGCGGCGAAGGCGGGCUGCUGGGCUGAUACUGACGCUGAGGCGCGAAAGCCAGGGGAGCGAACGGG
rnacentral:rRNA from 1 species